rnacentral:rRNA from 1 species
UACGUAGGGGGCAAGCGUUGUCCGGAAUCAUUGGGCGUAAAGAGCGCGUAGGCGGUCCGGUAAGUCCGCUCUGAAAGUCCGGGGCUCAACCCCGGGAGGCGGGCGGAUACUGUCGGGCUAGAGUCCGGAAGAGGCGAGUGGAAUUCCUGGUGUAGCGGUGAAAUGCGCAGAUAUCAGGAGGAACACCUGUGGUGUAGACGGCUUUCUGGACCAUAGCUGACGCUGAGACACGAAAGCGUGGGUAGCAAACAGG